rnacentral:rRNA from 2 species
CGACGAACUCUGGUAUUGAUUGGUGCUUGCAUCAUGAUUUACAUUUGAGUGAGUGGCGAACUGGUGAGUAACACGUGGGAAACCUGCCCAGAAGCGGGGGAUAACACCUGGAAACAGAUGCUAAUACCGCAUAACAACUUGGACCGCAUGGUCCGAGUUUGAAAGAUGGCUUCGGCUAUCACUUUUGGAUGGUCCCGCGGCGUAUUAGCUAGAUGGUGGGGUAACGGCUCACCAUGGCAAUGAUACGUAGCCGACCUGAGAGGGUAAUCGGCCACAUUGGGACUGAGACACGGCCCAAACUCCUACGGGAGGCAGCAGUAGGGAAUCUUCCACAAUGGACGAAAGUCUGAUGGAGCAACGCCGCGUGAGUGAAGAAGGGUUUCGGCUCGUAAAACUCUGUUGUUAAAGAAGAACAUAUCUGAGAGUAACUGUUCAGGUAUUGACGGUAUUUAACCAGAAAGCCACGGCUAACUACGUGCCAGCAGCCGCGGUAAUACGUAGGUGGCAAGCGUUGUCCGGAUUUAUUGGGCGUAAAGCGAGCGCAGGCGGUUUUUUAAGUCUGAUGUGAAAGCCUUCGGCUCAACCGAAGAAGUGCAUCGGAAACUGGGAAACUUGAGUGCAGAAGAGGACAGUGGAACUCCAUGUGUAGCGGUGAAAUGCGUAGAUAUAUGGAAGAACACCAGUGGCGAAGGCGGCUGUCUGGUCUGUAACUGACGCUGAGGCUCGAAAGUAUGGGUAGCAAACAGGAUUAGAUACCCUGGUAGUCCAUACCGUAAACGAUGAAUGCUAAGUGUUGGA